CUCGUAGGCGGUUCAGUCAGUCGGGUGUGAAAACUUGAGGCUUAACCUCAAGAGGUCACUCGAUACUACUGUGACUAGAGUGCGGUAGGGGAGCGGGGAAUUCCUGGUGUAGCGGUGAAAUGCGCAGAUAUCAGGAGGAACACCAGUGGCGAAGGCGCCGCUCUGGGCCGUGACUGACGCUGAGGAGCGAAAGCAUGGGUAGCAAACAGGAUUAGAUACCCUGGUAGUCC
rnacentral:rRNA from 1 species